AUUGAACGCUGGCGGCAGGCCUAACACAUGCAAGUCGAGCGGUAACACAGAGGAGCUUGCUCCUUGGGUGACGAGCGGCGGACGGGUGAGUAAUGCCUGGGGAUCUGCCCGAUAGAGGGGGAUAACUACGGGAAACUGUAGCUAAUACCGCAUAAUGUCUACGGACCAAAGUGGGGGCUCUUCGGACCUCAUGCUAUCGGAUGAACCCAGGUGGGAUUAGCUAGUUGGUGAGGUAAUGGCUCACCAAGGCGACGAUCUCUAACUGGUUUGAGAGAAUGACCAGUCACACUGGAACUGGGACACGGUCCAGACUCCUACGGGAGGCAGCAGUGGGGAAUAUUGCACAAUGGGCGCAAGCCUGAUGCAGCCAUGCCGCGUGUGUGAAGAAGGCCCUCGGGUUGUAAAGCACUUUCAGCGGGGAGGAAGGGGUUGUAGUUAAUAGCUGCAACCUUUGACGUUACUCGCAGAAGAAGCACCGGCUAACUCUGUGCCAGCAGCCGCCGUAAUAC
rnacentral:rRNA from 1 species